AAAAUCCGUCGACUUUAGAAAUCGUGAGGGUUCAAGUCCCUCUAUCCCCCCAAAAAGACCGAUUUGACUAUUUCUCCUACCCUCUCUUUUUUUUAGUGGUUCAAAAUUCGUUCUCUUUCUCAUUCAUUCUACCUUUUUACAAACGUAUCAGAGCAGAAUUUUUUUUUUCUUUUAUCACAAUCACAAGUGGUGUGGUAUAUAUGAUAUACGUACAAAUGAACAUCUUUGAACAAAGAAUCCCGAUUCACAAUUCAUAUCAUUGCUCAUACUGAAACUUAUAAAUUAUUCUAUUCAAGAAAUCGAAUUCCACGCUCAAGACUUUUAAUACUUUUUUAUCUUUUUUAAUUGACAUAGACCCCAGUCAUCUAGUAAAAUGAGGAUGAUGCGCCGGUAAUGGUCGGGAUAGCUCAGCUGGUAGAGCAGAGGACUGAAAAUCCUCGUG
rnacentral:tRNA from 1 species